rnacentral:lncRNA from 1 species
UUUUUUUUUUUUUUUUUUUUUUUUUUGUCGUUGAUGAUUAUUCUUAUUUGGUCUGGGCAGACCUUUUUUCUAAGAAUGAGCUGUAAUAAAUUAGCAUUGCACAUAGGAUCAUCUUUAAGUUCUACGGGUUGAUUAAAACUUGUCAUGGGCCUUUAAGAGUUUAGACUUUAUUAUGAGCUUUUUUUUUUUUUUCCUUAUAGGCUGUGAAGCUCAGGAAAUGGGUAGGCAGGAAGAACAUGGUUUUUUAGUAGGUUUAUACGUUUUUUAAAAACCUGCUCUGGAAAGUUGGUGAGAAUGACAGAAUUUAGACAUGAUGAUAUUGCUUCACCUUGCUAAGAGCUCACUCGAGGUGCCAGAGUAAGACAUUGCACUGAUUUUUGUACAGUAGUCGAUCGCUUACCGCUUAACAAAAUGUCAGAGAAUGCCUUUGGGGAGAAUUCUAGAUAAGUUCCUAUGUUUUACAGUUUGAAGGGCGAUGAUUUAACGAGUUGGAUAGGUUUAUGAAAUUGCUGGAAGUGAUUCAUCGUGUUUUUCGAGGUUUGAGUGAGACGUCUGAAUCCAGGGUCUGAGGUUUUUGUCCUAUGGAGUAUUUCAUUUAAAGAACUGUUACUGAUAAAAUUGACUGGGGAAACUAGGUGCCAAAGGUGUAUUUAAGAAAAUACCAAAGACUCAAAGAUUAGUGUUAGGGAGACUAUGGCCGAGAAGCCAGCAAAGGCAAGAUUCUAAACCAAGCAGUGCAGGGGUGGUGUGGAAAUCCUGCUAAGGGCUUACUGGUGUGCUUUCUAAGCUUUGGAGAGAAUGAUGACAGACAGGAAGACAAUACUAGAUCAAGAUAAUCAAGCUUUUGUAGCUCAAAUAUGGCCACUGUCCACACAGUGUCAUCCCCAGCUGAGGCUCUGACUUGUAACGAGGCUGUCCGCAUCUUACUGUACGGAUUCCUCACUUGGCCCCUUGGUGAAUCACUAAAGUGAUGUGCUCAAAGAAUACAGGGGCUCUAACUGCUUUGUAUUGUGCAAGAUUACAAAGAUGCCCAGUUGAUCCAAGUGUCAGAUUUAUCAAUCAACAUUAAGGAAAUUACGUUAGAAUAAAGUACCAUUUAUAAUAAGAGGUUAAAUCAAGUCAGUAUGAAUGGUGAGAUGUCUUUGAAAUCCAUAUAUAAAUAUUUAAAAUGUUUUGGAUUUAAUUGGAGAGCAAGAUUUGGCACAGACUUUUAAUAUUUUUAUUUUACUGCUUAUAAAAGGCUUCAUUUCUCAGAAAACUUCUUUCAAAAAUAUUGAUUUAUUUAAAAUAGAGACUAGUCUGAAACUCCAAAUUUGAUAGGAUUAGUAUGCCAUUAUAAGUCUAAAAAAUAGAAUCAGUUAUCUAAUGCUUUUUAAGUUUUUACUGAAAUGCACACCUGGUGUGACUUAUGUUAAGGUCUCUAAGAAGAGGCCACCAACGAUAACAGGAGUGACAUUGUAAAAAUGCACAUGCUUACAAAGGCUAAGUAUAGAAAGAUGCUUAUUUUGGGAUAGAAGGGAUAAGAGGAGGAAAAAUCAAGAAAGUGUAAAUUUGUAAUAUUUCCUGUGUGUCAGAAACAUUAAACAAAGCCAGAACUCCCAGACAAAGAACCAGUAACAGAUGUAAAAAUCCAUUUUAUUUCAAGACAUCGUACCUGAGUGCUUUGAUCUAUACAUUCGUAUAUAAGCUGUCUUAGAAGCCAGUGGUAUCUGUGAUUCUACUUUUAUUUAAAUAUGCAUUGAUUUAAAAACAGAUUAUUUAAAAAACACCUUUUAGUGGAAAUAAUUUUCCCUAAUAAACAGCUCAUAGAUAAG